CUGCAGCCAAUUAAGCCCACAAGGUUCCUUUAGUCAUGGGGGCCCCGUAUGCAGUGGUUGUAAAUAGCAGCCUCCUCAGUAGUGUAUGCAGCCUGUUGGCUUGUGUGGGCUCCCUAGGGACCUUGCAGACAGUU
rnacentral:snoRNA from 1 species